UCUGGGGCGCGAAAUUCUGGCUCCCCUCGCCCUGCGCCAGGCUCUGGUUGGCCUUCCUCUGUGAACCGUGGGAGACGUGACUGGCGCCUCCUCUAAGACCCCCAUGCUGCCCCCGCUGUGAUCAGUGGGGGAAAGGCCGAUCGCAUCUGUCGGGACAUUCCUGAACCCCUUUGCGAGGCAGAAGUUGGGGAAGAGAGCAGGCUGAGAAUGGAAUCCGGGGCCUGCUGCCUGCGGGUGAGUGCGCUGCACUGAGCCCUCUCCCCAGCUCUGGGAUGUAACAGUCCUUGUGCAUGCUGGACAAGGACUCUACUGCUGGGCAAGGACUCCACUGAUUUGUGUUAAUGACAUUCUGAAAACAACCUAAAUGCCCCACCGUGGGAGACAGCCAGGAGAUACAACAUACUUGGAAAUUGGAUCUGGGACAAUAUACUGAGUGUAUUUAACAGGAAUUAAAACAAAAAACAAACAAAUAAAAAACUGACUGUGUA